AAGAAAGUAAAUAAGGGCGCAUGGCGGAUGCCUUGGCUCUCGGAGGCGAUGAAGGACGUGAUAAGCUGCGAUAAGCUUCGGGUAGGUGCAAAUGACCUUUGAUCCGAAGAUUUCCGAAUGGGACAACCCGGCAUUCUGAAGGAAUGUCAUCCAACUUGGUUGGAGGCUAACGCAGGGAACUGAAACAUCUUAGUACCUGCAGGAAAAGAAAAUAAAUAAUGAUUCCCCUAGUAGUGGCGAGCGAACGGGGAUUAGCCCAAACCACCCAUGUUACGGCAUGUGUGGGGUUGUAGGACCACGCUCUCGCAAGACAGUUAUUGAGAAGAAACGACUGGAAAGUCGUGCCAUAGACGGUGAUAGCCCGGUAUUCUAAGGUAACCGAAGCGUAGUGGUAUCCUGAGUAGCGCGGAGCACGAGGAAUUCUGCGUGAACCAGCCGGGACCAUCCGGUAAGGCUAAAUACUCCCGAGAGACCGAUAGCGAACCAGUACUGUGAAGGAAAGGUGAAAAGCACUUCGAAUAGA
rnacentral:rRNA from 1 species